CGCCUACGGGACGCAGCAGUGGGGAAUAUUGCACAAUGGGGGAAACCCUGAUGCAGCGACGCCGCGUGAGCGAUGAAGUAUUUCGGUAUGUAAAGCUCUAUCAGCAGGGAAGAAAAUGACGGUACCUGACUAAGAAGCCCCGGCUAACUACGUGCCAGCAGCCGCGGUAAUACGUAGGGGGCAAGCGUUAUCCGGAUUUACUGGGUGUAAAGGGAGCGUAGACGGCGAUGCAAGCCAGAUGUGAAAGGCGGGGGCUCAACCCCCGGACUGCUCUGGAAACUGUACGGCUGGAGUGCAGGAGAGGG
rnacentral:rRNA from 1 species